AACUGCAUUGCAAGCUGGGAGCCAAGGAGAAAAAGGACAAGUACACACGAAGAAUUCAGUGUAAUGGGAAUUCUUAACUGGGGCACCCGACUGCACUCUAGGGCCAGCGACCACACACAGGUCAGGUUCUAGAAGAUGCAGCAAGGGCAAGAUUCUGUAUCCAGAGCCAACUUCACAAAUGGAGAUGCUGUGCUGGGAGUUCACAGUGCAGUGUUGUGUGAUCCCAGCAUGCUCUCCAAGUUUGACUACCACAAGGACUGGUCGCUGACAUAAGCAAACCAAGACCCUUACCCAGACUGCAGGUCAUCUUUCCAUUCCCUCUGUUUUAACAUGGGAUCAUGUUCAAAACAAGUCCCAACAUCAGGCAUCCGAGUUUCUGAGCUCGUCUGGAGAUUAGGGCCCUGUGGCGAGGGGAGUACACAGCUAACUUAUUACGCUUCACCAAGAAACAGUUAGUCUGGCUCUGUUGGGAAGGAAGGCUGUGCUCCAAGAGGAUGGGGACAUCCAACUAGCUGGCCAGGUCAACCAAAUCAACCCUGUGAUCAACGGGAUGACAGACGCUGAAGAACACUCUCAGAACCCAGAGUUUGAAAAGCAAAAUUUACCUCAAUUUCCAGACAAGUCAGAGGCUGCCGAGCAACAAAGUGUGCUGAGACUCCUAGGAGACUACAAGCUAUUUUAACCUCGGUCUGAUCAGCUGCUUCUCAGUGUCACAGUCUGUGACAGGAAGACAGCUGUCUCCUCUUUGGUGUGAUCUACAAGUGAUAAAAUCCUAAUUAAAGCCAUUUGAACCACAA